rnacentral:rRNA from 1 species
UACGCUGAGUUACCAGCACGUAAAGGUGGGGACUCUCAGUGGACUGCCGGCGACAAGCCGGAGGAGGGUGGGGACGACGUCAAGUCAUCAUGGCCCUCAUGUCCAGGGCGACACACGUGCUACAAUGGCCGGCACAACGGGAAGCGACGGCGCGAGUCGUAGCGGAUCCCUCAAAGCCGGUCCCAGUUCGGAUUGCAGUCUGCAACUCGACUGCAUGAAGCCGGAAUCGCUAGUAAUCGUGGAUCAGCCAAGCCGCGGUGAAUACGUUCCCGGGCCUU